rnacentral:rRNA from 1 species
GAAACGACUGCUAAGACUGGAUAGGAAGAUAAAAGGCAUCUUGUAUCUUUUAAAAGACCUAGUUAAUAGGUAUGCUUUAGGAGGGGCUUGCGCCAUAUUAGUUAGUUGGUAGGGUAAUGGCCUACCAAGACGAUGAUGUGUAGCUGGACUGAGAGGUUGAACAGCCACAUUGGGACUGAGACACGGCCCAAACUCCUACGGGAGGCAGCAGUAGGGAAUUUUCGGCAAUGGAGGAAACUCUGACCGAGCAACGCCGCGUGAAUGACGAAGUACUUCGGUAUGUAAAGUUCUUUUAUCGAGGAAGAAAAGCAAAUGGCGAACCAUUUGUUUGCCGGUACUUGAUGAAUAAGCCCCGGCUAAUUAUGUGCCAGCAGCCGCGGUAAGACAUAAGGGGCAAGUGUUAUCCGGAAUUAUUGGGCGUAAAGGGUGCGUAGGCGGUCUAGUAAGUCAGUGGUGUAAUGGCAACGCUUAACGUUGUCCGGCUAUUGAAACUGCUAAACUUGAGUUAGAUAGAGGCGAGUGGAAUUCCAUGUGUAGCGGUAAAAUGCGUAAAUAUAUGGAGGAACACCAGAGGCGUAGGCGGCUCGCUGGGUCUUAACUGACGCUGAGGCACGAAAGCGUGGGGAGCAAACAGGAUUAGAUACCCUGGUAGUCCACGCCGUAAACGAUGAGUACUAAGUGUCGGGUUAAACCGGUACUGAAGUUAACACAUUAAGUACUCCGCCUGAGUAGUACGUACGCAAGUAUGAAACUUAAAGGAAUUGACGGGACUCCGCACAAGCGGUGGAUCAUGUUGUUUAAUUCGAAGAUACCCGAAAAACCUUACCAGGUCUUGACAUGUUUUUGCAAAAUGAUAGUAAUAUCGUGGAGGUUACCAGAAACACAGGUGGUGCAUGGUUGUCGUCAGCUCGUGUCGUGAGAUGUUAGGUUAAGUCCUAAAACGAGCGAAACCCUUAUCGUUAGUUGCCAGCACGUUAUGGGUGGGGGACUUUAACGAGACUGCCAAUGAUAAAUUGGAGGAAGGUGAGGAUCACGUCAAAUCAGCAUGCCCCUUAUGACCUGGGCUACAAACGUGAUACAAUGGCUGUUACAAAGGGUAGCUGAAACGCAAGUUCUUGGCCAAUCCCCAAAAACAGUCCCAGUCCGGAUUGAAGUCUGCAACUCGACUUCAUGAAGUUGGAAUCGCUAGUAAUCGCGAAUCAGCAUGUCGCGGUGAAUACGUUCUCGGGGUUUGUACACACCGCCCGUCA